rnacentral:rRNA from 1 species
UACGUAGGGUGCAAGCGUUAAUCGGAAUUACUGGGCGUAAAGCGUGCGCUAGGCGGUUUUGUAAGUCUGACGUGAAAUCCCGGGCUCCAAGCCUGGAACUUGGCGUUGGAGACUGCAAGGCUAGAAUCUGGCAGAGGGGGUAGAAUUCCACGUGUAGCAGUGAAAUGCGUAGAGAUGUGGAGGAACACCGAUGGCGAAGGCAGCCCCUGGGUCAAGAUUGACGCUCAUGCACGAA